AUUGAACGCUGGCGGCAUGCUUUACACAUGCAAGUCGAACGGUAACAGGCCUUCGGGUGCUGACGAGUGGCGAACGGGUGAGUAAUGCAUCGGAACGUGCCCAGAGGUGGGGGAUAACGCAGCGAAAGCUGUGCUAAUACCGCAUGUGAUCUGAGGAUGAAAGCGGGGGACCAGGCAGCAAUGUUUGGCCUCGCGCCUUUGGAGCGGCCGAUGUCAGAUUAGGUAGUUGGUGGGGUAAAGGCCUACCAAGCCGACGAUCUGUAGCUGGUCUGAGAGGACGACCAGCCACACUGGGACUGAGACACGGCCCAGACUCCUACGGGAGGCAGCAGUGGGGAAUUUUGGACAAUGGGCGCAAGCCUGAUCCAGCAAUGCCGCGUGCGGGAAGAAGGCCUUCGGGUUGUAAACCGCUUUUGUACGGAACGAAAAGGCUCUGGCUAAUACCUGGGACUGAUGACGGUACCGUAAGAAUAAGCACCGGCUAACUACGUG
rnacentral:rRNA from 1 species